rnacentral:tRNA from 2 species
GGCCCUGUAGCUCAAUUGGUUAGAGCAUCGGACUGUCGAUCCGAAGGUUGCGAGUUCAAGUCUCGUCGGGGUCG